rnacentral:rRNA from 1 species
CAAGGGUUCCUGUCCAACGUUAAUCGGGGCAGGGUGAGUCGACCCCUAAGGCGAGGCCGAAAGGCGUAGUCGAUGGGAAACGGGUUAAUAUUCCCGUACUUGGUGUUACUGCGAAGGGGGGACGGAGAAGGCUAUGUUGGCCGGGCGACGGUUGUCCCGGUUUAAGCGUGUAGGUGUGUGUUCCAGGUAAAUCCGGUUCACUUUAACACUGAGGCGUGAUGACGAGGCACUACGGUGCUGAAGCAACAAAUGCCCUGCUUCCAGGAAAAGCCUCUAAGCAUCAGGUAACAUCAAAUCGUACCCCAAACCGACACAGGUGGUCAGGUAGAGAAUACCAAGGCGCUUGAGAGAACUCGGGUGAAGGAACUAGGCAAAAUGGUGCCGUAACUUCGGGAGAAGGCACGCUGACACGUAGGUGAAGUGAUUUACUCAUGGAGCUGAAGUCAGUCGAAGAUACCAGCUGGCUGCAACUGUUUAUUAAAAACACAGCACUGUGCAAACACGAAAGUGGACGUAUACGGUGUGACGCCUGCCCGGUGCCGGAAGGUUAAUUGAUGGGGUCAGCGCAAGCGAAGCUCCUGAUCGAAGCCCCGGUAAACGGCGGCCGUAACUAUAACGGUCCUAAGGUAGCGAAAUUCCUUGUCGGGUAAGUUCCGACCUGCACGAAUGGCGUAAUGAUGGCCAGGCUGUCUCCACCCGAGACUCAGUGAAAUUGAACUCGCUGUGAAGAUGCAGUGUACCCGCGGCAAGACGGAAAGACCCCGUGAACCUUUACUAUAGCUUGACACUGAACAUUGAGCCUUGAUGUGUAGGAUAGGUGGGAGGCUUUGAAGUGUGGACGCCAGUCUGCAUGGAGCCGGCCUUGAAAUACCACCCUUUAAUGUUUGAUGUUCUAACGUGGACCCGUGAUCCGGGUUGCGGACAGUGUCUGGUGGGUAGUUUGACUGGGGCGGUCUCCUCCUAAAGAGUAACGGAGGAGCACGAAGGUUGGCUAAUCCUGGUCGGACAUCAGGAGGUUAGUGCAAUGGCAUAAGCCAGCUUGACUGCGAGCGUGACGGCGCGAGCAGGUGCGAAAGCAGGUCAUAGUGAUCCGGUGGUUCUGAAUGGAAGGGCCAUCGCUCAACGGAUAAAAGGUACUCCGGGGAUAACAGGCUGAUACCGCCCAAGAGUUCAUAUCGACGGCGGUGUUUGGCACCUCGAUGUCGGCUCAUCACAUCCUGGGGCUGAAGUAGGUCCCAAGGGUAUGGCUGUUCGCCAUUUAAAGUGGUACGCGAGCUGGGUUUAGAACGUCGUGAGACAGUUCGGUCCCUAUCUGCCGUGGGCGCUGGAGAACUGAGGGGGGCUGCUCCUAGUACGAGAGGACCGGAGUGGACGCAUCACUGGUGUUCGGGUUGUCAUGCCAAUGGCACUGCCCGGUAGCUAAAUGCGGAAGAGAUAAGUGCUGAAAGCAUCUAAGCACGAAACUUGCCCCGAGAUGAGUUCUCCCUGAGACUUUAGGUCUCCUGAAGGAACGUUGAAGACGACGACGUUGAUAGGCCGGGUGUGUAAGCGCAGCGAUGCGUUGAGCUAACCGGUACUAAUGAACCGUGAGGCUUAACCUUACA